UUCGAGAGCUUUAACAUAAACCAAAGGUAUGGGAAAUAUUCUGAUCAGGUUCAUUCCAAAGACCUAAUUAAAUCUAAGAUAUCCUUCUGUCUCUCAAUUGUGAAAUUACUACUAAUGGUAUGUGGUGGAACCCCAGGAGCAAUUUACAAUUGCAAUUAGUUAUAUAGUGACAACAUAUUCUGCAGCACAGUACUAUAGGUAAAACAAACCAUUUGAAGAAAACACAUAUGAGCUAUGGGAACAGUAGGUGAAGAGGGCCCAAACAAGCUUAGAAUCUAAUGGGAUGAGGGACAAAUACAGAAAGGG